rnacentral:rRNA from 1 species
AACGAACGCUGGCGGCAGGCUUAACACAUGCAAGUCGAACGCCCCGCAAGGGGAGUGGCAGACGGGUGAGUAACGCGUGGGAACAUACCCUUUCCUGCGGAAUAGCUCCGGGAAACUGGAAUUAAUACCGCAUACGCCCUACGGGGGAAAGAUUUAUCGGGGAAGGAUUGGCCCGCGUUGGAUUAGCUAGUUGGUGGGGUAAAGGCCUACCAAGGCGACGAUCCAUAGCUGGUCUGAGAGGAUGAUCAGCCACAUUGGGACUGAGACACGGCCCAAACUCCUACGGGAGGCAGCAGUGGGGAAUAUUGGACAAUGGGCGCAAGCCUGAUCCAGCCAUGCCGCGUGAGUGAUGAAGGCCUUAGGGUUGUAAAGCUCUUUCACCAAUGAAGAUAAUGACGGUAGUCGGAGAAGAAGCCCCGGCUAACUUCGUG